rnacentral:rRNA from 1 species
CAAUAGCGUAUAUUAAAGUUGUUGCAGUUAAAAAGCUCGUAGUUGGAUUUCUGGUGGGAGCGAUCGGUCUGGCGCUUAGCGCGAGUACUUGCAUCGUCUCCGGCCAUCCUUGGGGAGAGUCUGUCUGGCAUUAAGUUGUCGGGCAGAGGAUCCUCAUCGUUUACUGUGAAAAAAUUAGAGUGUUCAAAGCAGGCUUAUGCCGUUGAAUAUAUUAGCAUGGAAUAAUAAGAUUGGACUUUGGUACUAUUUUGUUGGUUUGCGCACCAAAGUAAUGAUUAAUAGGGACAGUUGGGGGUAUUCGUAUUCCGUUGUCAGAGGUGAAAUUCUUGGAUUUACGGAAGACGAACUACUGCGAAAGCAUUUACCAAGGAUGUUUUCAUUAA